GCCAACCCAUCCAUUCCUCUUUAUUCUCGGCAACCCCAAUUCUUUUUCCAUCUUUCUCCUUUUCUCUCUCUAUAUUUCUACAUUUAAACACAUAUAUACCUUCAUAGAUUAAAUCUUGAUUUUAGAAGGGUUCGAGUUAGAUUUUGAGGGAGAGGAAGAAGGGAUGUUGGAGAACUUGGUAUGAGCUUCAAAUUGAGGCCAAUAUUGCUAGGGUUUGGGGAAUUCCAAAAAUUGCUUUAGCCUUAGGGCUAUCACUUUGAGGAAAUAGAGCUUGCCUUGGAGUUUCUAACGGGUGUUUGAUGACUUCUAUUGAAGCUUUGGGACAUUAUAUGUGUAGCAUUUUUACUUGUACUUAAUACAUGUAAAUCAAUGUAUAUUUGUCCAUGUAAGAUUCAUGGUAUAAAUUGUAAUUGAUGUAAAAUGAGGCCAUGAAGCCAUUUUGAAUCAAAUUGAAAAUUGCUCAUCCCUUUUCUUUACAA